CCUACGGGAGGCAGCAGUGGGGAAUAUUGCACAAUGGGCGAAAGCCUGAUGCAGCAACGCCGCGUGAGCGAUGAAGGCCUUCGGGUCGUAAAGCUCUGUCCUCAAGGGAGAUAAUGACGGUACUUGAGGAGGAAGCCCCGGCUAACUACGUGACAGCAGCCGCGGUACUACGUAGGGGGCUAGCGUUAUCCGGAAUUACUGGGCGUAAAGGGUGCGUAGGUGGUUUCUUAAGUCAGAGGUGAAAGGCUACGGUUCAACCGUAGUAAGCCUUUGAAAAUGGGGAACUUGAGUGCAGGAGAGGAGAGUGGAAUUCCUAGUGUAGCGGUGAAAUGCGUAGAUAUUAGGAGGAACACCAGUGGCGAAGGCGGCUCUCGGGACUGUAACUGACACUGAGGCACGAAAGCGUGGGGAGCAAACAGGAUUAGAUACCCGAGUAGUC
rnacentral:rRNA from 1 species